rnacentral:rRNA from 1 species
UACGGGGGGAGCAAGCGUUGUUCGGAAUUACUGGGCGUAAAGCGCGUGUAGGCGGCAGGGCAAGUCGGAUGUGAAAGCCCACGGCUCAACCGUGGAAGUGCGCCCGAAACUGCCUCGCUAGAGUCUCGGAGAGGAAGGUGGAAUGCUUGGUGUAGAGGUGAAAUUCGUAGAUAUCAAGCGGAACACCGGUGGCGAAGGCGGCCUUCUGGACGAUGACUGACGCUGAGGAGCGAAAGCGUGGGGAGCGAACAGG